CCCUUAGAUGUUCUGGGCUGCACACGUGCUACACUGGCAGGUUCAGCGAGCUUCAUGCCCUGAUCUGAAAGGAAUGGGAAAUCUUUUCAAAACCUGCCGUGCUUGGGAUAGAUGUUUGCAAUUAUUCAUCUUCAACGAGGAUUGCCUUGUAAGCGCACGUCAUCAGCGUGCAUUGAAUACGACCCUGUAUUCUGUACACACCGCCCGUCGCUCCUACCGAUUGAAGUUUUCGGUGAGUUGACAGGAGGAUUUUUUUGAAACUGGUUCGCCAGUGGACUUUAGAUCCAAAUGCCAACGAAUCGAUGGCUUUAGAGGAAGGAGAAGUCGUAACA
rnacentral:rRNA from 1 species